rnacentral:misc_RNA from 1 species
AUUACAAACAAAUAUUUCGCAGGUCAACUUUGAUGUUCUUUUUCCUUCAGAGGAGAGUGUUUUGGUAGUUCUUGCAUUUAUCUUCAUCUGCAUUAUGGUUUCUUCUGGUUGAAAAUUCGCGGUCUUCUUUUCCUGGUGAGUAUGCCAACUUUUUGCUAUUCUCCUUUUAACUAAUUUUUUCUCCAAUAGUUAUUUCAUAUCCAAAAAUGAU